rnacentral:rRNA from 1 species
GGUCUUGACAUACCAUUGACAGGCGCAGAGAUGUGCUCUCCUUCGGGCAAUGGAUACAGGUGGUGGCAUGGUUGUCGUCAGCUCGUGCCGUGAGGUGUGGGUUAAGUCCCGCAACGAGCGCAACCCUCAUUGUUAGUUACUACCAUUCAGUUGAGGACUCUAAUGAGACUGCCAACGAUAAGUUGGAGGAAGGUGGGGAUGACGUCAAAUCAUCAUGCCCUUUAUGACCUGGGCUACAAACGUACUACAAUGGCCAAUACAAAGAGAUGCGAAGCGGUGACGUGGAGCGAACCUCAGAAAGUUGGUCUCAGUUCAGAUUGAAGUCUGCAACUCGACUUCAUGAAGGCGGAAUCGCUAGUAAUCGCGGGUCAGCAGACCGCGGUGAAUACGUUCCCGGGUUU